UACGUAGGGGGCAAGCGUUGUCCGGAUUUACUGGGCGUAAAGAGCGCGCAGGCGGUCGAUCAAGUCGAGUGUGAAAGCCCCCGGCUCAACUGGGGAGGGUCAUUCGAUACUGAUCGACUCGAAGGCAGGAGAGGGUAGUGGAAUUCCCGGUGUAGUGGUGAAAUGCGUAGAUAUCGGGAGGAACACCAGUGGCGAAGGCGACUACCUGGCCUGUUCUUGACGCUGAGGCGCGAAAGCUAGGGGAGCAAACGGGG
rnacentral:rRNA from 1 species